rnacentral:lncRNA from 1 species
AUUCUGACAAACUCUCUUCUUCUUCCUUUUUUUUUCACUUUCUUCCUCAUUACUUACUCAUGUCCCAUUGCUUUUCCAGGUCACGGUGGCUUACAAAAACAAGGUAGACGAACUCCCGAAGCAGGGGCUGGAUGAAGAAGAACUAAGCAAGAAAAUGGAUCUCUUAAAAGUCAGUCAAGAUAACGUGGCACUUUUUAAAUUUUUCUGUCUCAUGUGAUUUACACCUCAAUAACUAGAAGCUGAAAAUCCACCAUUGUGUUCACAGGAAUCUUACUCGAUUUUGUCCUCCGUGAAAGAAAGAAGAAUGUAUGAUUGGAGCUUGGCAAGAACUGAAGAACCUGGCAGAUAUGCUUGGCCUUUUGAGGAGG